rnacentral:rRNA from 1 species
GGACGAACGCUGGCGGCGUGCUUAACACAUGCAAGUCGAACGAGACGAUUGAAAGCUUGCUUUUGAAAGUCGAGUGGCAAACGGGUGAGUAACGCGUAGGCAACCUGCCCUUUAGUUGGGGACAACAUCCCGAAAGGGGUGCUAAUACCGAAUGUGAUCGCUUUUCCGCAUGGAAGAGCGAUGAAAGAUGGCCUCUAUUUAUAAGCUAUCGCUAAAGGAUGGGCCUGCGUCUGAUUAGCUAGUUGGUGGGGUAACGGCCUACCAAGGCGAUGAUCAGUAGCCGGUCUGAGAGGAUGAACGGCCACAUUGGGACUGAGACACGGCCCAGACUCCUACGGGAGGCAGCAGUGGGGGAUAUUGCGCAAUGGGGGCAACCCUGACGCAGCAACGCCGCGUGAAGGAUGAAGGUUUUCGGAUUGUAAACUUCUUUUAUUAAGGACGAAUAAUGACGGUACUUAAUGAAUAAGCUCCGGCUAACUACGUG